UUGUCGUCAGCUGGUGUCGUGAGAUGUAGGGUAAAGUCCCACAACGAGCGCAACCCUAGCCAUUAGUUGCCAUCAUUCAGUUGGGAACUAUAAUGGGACUGCCGGUGCUAAGCCGGAGGAAGGUGGGGAUGACGUCAAGUCCUCAUGGCCCUUACAGGGUGGGCUACACACGUGCUACAAUGGCGACUACAGAGGGUUAAUCCUUAAAAGUCGUCUCAGUUCGGAUUGUCCUCUGCAACUCGAGGGCAUGAAGUUGGAAUCGCUAGUAAUCGCGGAUCAGCAUGCCGCGGUGAAUACGUUCCCGGGCCUUGUACACACCGCCCGUCACACCAUGGGAGUUGGUUCUACCCGAAGGCGCUGCGCUGACCGCAAGGAGGCAGGCGACCACGGUAGGGUCAGCGACUGGGGUGAAGUCGUAACAAGGUAGCCGUA
rnacentral:rRNA from 1 species